AGAUCAACAGGUGAACGUGAUUGUGAACGUACAUCAUCAAGGUUUCUGAGAACACAAAAAGACAGCAAGAACACAGAAAUUCAUCAUUGUUGACAACUAAAUCAUACCGUUUUCAGGUUAAGAAAGAAAAGAAAAACCGUGUGGAGCAAGUUUGGAGGUAGAAAGUCGUCGAGCACGGAAAAAGGGAGACUUACAAGAGGAAGAAGAACGUGGUCAUAGAAGAGACUUGCCGAAGAAGAGAAAAGGUAAGCCGAAAACUUUGCUCUAUUUUGGUUCGGAGGGUAGAAAUGACCGACCAUGGGUGAUGUAGGUGGUUGAGCAAGAAAGAGAGAGAUUGAGUUUUGUUUGCCAAGGUAGCACAUCGAUGAAGGGAGGAGGGAGGACGCGAAG
rnacentral:lncRNA from 1 species